rnacentral:rRNA from 1 species
UACGUAGGGUGCGAGCGUUGUCCGGAAUUAUUGGGCGUAAAGGGCUCGUAGGCGGUCUGUUGCGUCAGGAGUGAAAACUCGGGGCUUAACCCCGAGCCUGCUUCUGAUACGGGCAGACUAGAGGUAUGCAGGGGAGAACGGAAUUCCUGGUGUAGCGGUGAAAUGCGCAGAUAUCAGGAAGAACACCCGUGGCGAAAGCGGCUCUCUGGGACGGUACUGACGCUGAGACGCGAAAGCGUGGGGAGCGAACAGG